GACGAACGCUGGCGGCGUGCCUAACACAUGCAAGUCGAGCGGGGUUGAAGCGAGAGGUAACUCGAGCUUCUACCUAGCGGCGGACGGGUGAGUAACGCGUGGGCAACCUGCCUCAAGGUUUGGGAUAACAGCCCGAAAGGGCUGCUAAUACCGGAUAUGCCUAUGGCCUCGCAUGGGGCUAUGAGCAAAGGGGAAACCCGCCUUGAGAUGGGCCCGCGUCCCAUCAGCUAGUUGGUGAGGUAACAGCUCACCAAGGCGACGACGGGUAGCCGGCCUGAGAGGGUGACCGGCCACACUGGGACUGAGACACGGCCCAGACUCCUACGGGGGGCAGCAGUGGGGGAUCUUGCACAAUGGGCGAAAGCCUGAUGCAGCGACGCCGCGUGAGCGAAGAAGGCCUCGGGUUGUAAAGCUCUGUCUGGAGGGACGGAACAAAAUAGACGGUACCGUACCGGAGGAAGGCCACGGCGUAACUACGUG
rnacentral:rRNA from 1 species